rnacentral:rRNA from 1 species
UACGUAGGUGGCAAGCGUUGUCCGGAAUUACUGGGCGUAAAGGGCGCGUAGGCGGACAGCUUAGUCAGAGGUGAAAGCCCAGGGCUCAACCUUGGAAAUGCCUUUGAUACUGGCUGUCUUGAGUUCGGGAGAGGUGAGUGGAAUGCCGAGUGUAGAGGUGAAAUUCGUAGAUAUUCGGCGGAACACCAGUGGCGAAGGCGGCUCACUGGCCCGAGUACUGACGCUGAGGCACGAAAGCGUGGGGAGCAAACAGG